CAUCUACUCCCUCCGUCCCAAAAUUCUUGUCUUAGAUUUGUCUAGAUACAGAUGAAUCUAAUACUAAAACGUAACAUGAUACAUCCGUAUUUAGACAAAUCUAAGACAAGAAUUUUGGGACGAAGGGAGUACCUU
rfam:Triticum aestivum genome assembly, contig: Triticum_aestivum_CS42_TGACv1_scaffold_289667_4AL